rnacentral:rRNA from 1 species
AUUGAACGCUGGCGGCAGGCCUAACACAUGCAAGUCGAGCGAGUGGCGGACGGGUGAGUAAUGUCUGGGAAACUGCCCGAUAGAGGGGGAUAACUACUGGAAACGGUGGCUAAUACCGCAUACCAUCAGAUGAACCCAUAUGGGAUUAGCUAGUAGGUGGGGUAACGGCUCACCAAGGCGAAGAUCCCUAGCUGGUCUGAGAGGAUGACCAGCCACACUGGAACUGAGACACGGUCCAGACUCCUACGUGAGGCAGCAGGGGGUAAUAUUGCACAAUGGGCGAAAGCCUGAUGCAGCCAUGCCGCGUGUAUGAAGAAGGCCUUCGGGUUGUAAAGUACUUUCAGCGGGGAGGCGUUACCCGCAGAAGAAGCACCGGCUAACUCCGUGCCAGCAGCCGCGGUAAUUC